rnacentral:rRNA from 1 species
UACGUAGGGUGCGAGCGUUAAUCGGAAUUACUGGGCGUAAAGCGUGCGCAGGCGGUUUUGUAAGACAGGUGUGAAAUCCCCGGGCUUAACCUGGGAACUGCACUUGUGACUGCAAGGCUGGAGUACGGCAGAGGGGGAUGGAAUUCCGCGUGUAGCAGUGAAAUGCGUAGAUAUGCGGAGGAACACCGAUGGCGAAGGCAGUCCCCUGGGCCUGUACUGACGCUCAUGCACGAAAGCGUGGGGAGAAAACAGG